rnacentral:rRNA from 1 species
AACGAACGCUGGCGGCGCGCCUAACACAUGCAAGUCGAACGAGAAUCCGGGGCAACCCGGUAGUAAAGUGGCAAACGGGUGAGGAAUACAUGGGUAACCUGCCCUUGAGAAGGGAAUAACCCGCCGAAAGGUGAGCUAAUACCCUAUACGCUUUGUUUUUCAUGGAAAGCAAAGGAAAGCCUGGCCGAGGGCUUUGGCACUCAAGGAGGGGCUCAUGUCCUAUCAGCUUGUUGGUGGGGUAACGGCCUACCAAGGCUACGACGGGUAGCUGGUCUGAGAGGAUGAUCAGCCACACUGGCACUGAGAUACGGGCCAGACUCCUACGGGAGGCAGCAGUGAGGAAUAUUGCGCAAUGGGCGAA